rnacentral:rRNA from 1 species
UACGUAGGGUGCAAGCGUUGUCCGGAAUUAUUGGGCGUAAAGAGCUCGUAGGCGGUCUGUCGCGUCUGCUGUGAAAACUCGGGGCUUAACUCCGGGCCUGCAGUGGGUACGGGCAGACUAGAGUGCGGUAGGGGAGACUGGAAUUCCUGGUGUAGCGGUGAAAUGCGCAGAUAUCAGGAGGAACACCGGUGGCGAAGGCGGCUUCCUGGACCGACACUGACGCUGAGGCGCGAAAGCUAGGGGAGCAAACGGG